UACAGAGGCCUCGAGCGUUGUUCGGAAUUACUGGGCGUAAAGGGAAUGUAGGUGGUGACGUAAGUCAGAUGUGAAAGCCCUGGGCUUAACCCGGGAAGUGCAUUUGAUACUGCGUUGCUUGAGUGCGAGAGAGGAAAGCGGAAUUCCCAGUGUAGGAGUGAAAUCCGUAGAUAUUGGGAGGAAUACCGAUGGCGAAGGCAGCUUUCUGGCUCGCAACUGACACUGAGAUUCGAAAGCGUGGGUAGCAAACAGG
rnacentral:rRNA from 1 species